AGUGUUAAAAUACCACUUCCCAUAUGAUCACUAAAGUUAAUUAAUGUUGAGCCUGGUCAAUACCUAGAUGGGUGACUGCUUGAGAAUACUAGGUGCUGUAAG